rnacentral:rRNA from 1 species
GACGAACGCUGGCGGCGUGCCUAAUACAUGCAAGUUGAGCGCUGAAGGUUGGUACUUGUACCAACUGGAUGAGCAGCGAACGGGUGAGUAACGCGUGGGGAAUCUGCCUUUGAGCGGGGGACAACAUUUGGAAACGAAUGCUAAUGCCGCAUAAAAACUUUAAACACAAGUUUUAAGUUUGAAAGAUGCAAUUGCAUCACUCAAAGAUGAUCCCGCGUUGUAUUAGCUAGUUGGUGAGGUAAAGGCUCACCAAGGCGAUGAUACAUAGCCGACCUGAGAGGGUGAUCGGCCACAUUGGGACUGAGACACGGCCCAAACUCCUACGGGAGGCAGCAGUAGGGAAUCUUCGGCAAUGGACGAAAGUCUGACCGAGCAACGCCGCGUGAGCGAAGAAGGUUUUCGGAUCGUAAAACUCUGUUGGUAGAGAAGAACGUUGGUGAGAGUGGAAAGCUCAUCAAGUGACGGUAACUACCCAGAAAGGGACGGCUAACUACGUG